GGCUGAUCACACUUGCUGAUCACAUCUGUCAAAUUAUCACACAAGAUUUUGCUAGAAAUCAAGUUCCCUCGCAGACUCCCCAGCAGCCUCCUACUUCUACAUUCCAGAACUCACCUUCUGCUUUGGUAUCUACACCUGUGAGGACUAAAACAUCAAACCGUUACAGCCCAGAAUCCCAGGCUCAGUCUGUCCAUCAUCAAAGACCAGGUUCAAGGGUCUCUCCAGAAAAUCUUGUGGACAAAUCCAGGGGAAGGUAUGAUGUUUAUUCCAAAUUAUAUAUAAAUUGCCCAACAGUAAAACAAAUGGAAUAUAUCUACAGGAUAAGGAAUUUGUUUCUCACAACUAAAGUUCAUUUGCCUUUAUUCCCAGGAAAGUGUAAAUGAGCUUUCUUCCCCCUGCAUAUUAUUCUUAGAAUGUCCACUGUCUUGGCAUUUGGUACUAUGACUUUUUAAUGUAUAUUCAAAAGAUGAUUAUAUUCUGUUUGUUGGUUUGUAAAGAUAGUUAAGAAGAAUGUGUAGUUUGGUAGUGGUUUGGGGACACUUCAGUGGUCCUUCCGAAUAAUACGUCUCAUAUUUAUCUGUCUCAGUGGUUUCUACUGGGUCAGCAUCAGUAGAAGUUUAAGAAGGUGAUAUUGGCCAGACAUAGUGGCUUAUACCUGUAAUGCCAGCACUUUGGGAGGCUGAGGUAGGAGGAUUGCUUGAGCCCAGGAAUUUGAGACCAGCCUGGGCAACAUAGUGAGAUCUCAUCUCUACAAAAAAAAAGUUUAUAUAUUUUUUGUUUGUUUGUUUGCUUG
rnacentral:sRNA from 1 species